rnacentral:rRNA from 1 species
GGUGUUGAUUGCGAUGAGGUCCCACCUGUUCCCAUCCCGAACACAGAAGUUAAGCUCAUUGGCGCCGAAGAUACUUGGCUGGAAGCGGCCCGGGAAAAUAGGUUGAUGCCG